rnacentral:rRNA from 1 species
GAGCGGCGUACGGGUGCGGAACACGUGUGGCAACCUGCCUUUAUCUGGGGGAUAGCCUUUCGAAAGGAAGAUUAAUACCCCAUAAUAUGUUGAAUGGCAUCAUUCGACAUUGAAAACUCCGGUGGAUAGAGAUGGGCACGCGCAAGAUUAGAUAGUUGGUGAGGUAACGGCUCACCAAGUCUACGAUCUUUAGGGGGCCUGAGAGGGUGAUCCCCCACACUGGUACUGAGACACGGACCAGACUCCUACGGGAGGCAGCAGUGAGGAAUAUUGGACAAUGGGUGAGAGCCUGAUCCAGCCAUCCCGCGUGAAGGACGACUGCCCUAUGGGUUGUAAACUUCUUUUGUAUAGGGAUAAACCUACCCUCGUGAGGGUAGCUGAAGGUACUAUACGAAUAAGCACCGGCUAACUCCGUGCCAGCAGCCGCGGUAAUACGGAGGGUGCAAGCGUUAUCCGGAUUUAUUGGGUUUAAAGGGUCCGUAGGCGGAUCUGUAAGUCAGUGGUGAAAUCUCACAGCUUAACUGUGAAACUGCCAUUGAUACUGCAGGUCUUGAGUGUCGUUGAAGUAGCUGGAAUAAGUAGUGUAGCGGUGAAAUGCAU